CACGUAGGGGGCGAGCGUUGUCCGGAUUUAUUGGGCGUAAAGAGCUCGUAGGCGGCUCAGUAAGUCGGGUGUGAAAACUCCAGGCUCAACCUGGAGACGCCACCCGAUACUGCUGUGGCUAGAGUCCGGUAGGGGAGCAUGGAAUUCCUGGUGUAGCGGUGAAAUGCGCAGAUAUCAGGAGGAACACCGGUGGCGAAGGCGGGUCUCUGGGCCGUAACUGACGCCGAGGAGCGAAAGCGUGGGGAGCGAACAGG
rnacentral:rRNA from 1 species